UACGUAGGGUGCAAGCGUUAAUCGGAAUUACUGGGCGUAAAGCGUGCGCAGGCGGUUUUGUAAGUCUGUCGUGAAAUCCCCCGGGCUCAACCUGGGAAUUGCGAUGGAGACUGCAAGGCUAGAAUCUGGCAGAGGGGGGUAGAAUUCCACGUGUAGCAGUGAAAUGCGUAGAGAUGUGGAGGAACACCGAUGGCGAAGGCAGCCCCCCUGGGUCAAGAUUGACGCUCAUGCACGAAAGCGUGGGGAGCAAACAGG
rnacentral:rRNA from 1 species